AAAGCACCCCGGCAGCUCAUGGUGGGACUCUUGUGAUCAUUUCACUGAGCCUCCUUUUACUGUCUGUUUCUGCUAGACUAACUUCUCUUCAAAAAUGGGUGCUGGAAGCCAAGGAACUUCUUGUAGGAGAUGGUGUCCCUCACCGCUUUUUCCUCAGCAGUAUGAAUUUAUCCUGCUUCAUAAGACUGAAUCUCUACAAGGUGUUGUCUCCAGCAACUGCAUCAUCUGCAGGACUGUAGAAAAUCCUCCGCAACACUGGAAGUUUACAACCUUGACUUCAGUUUGACAGAGAGCUGGGACGUUCAAUAUGCUCGUAUAUAACUGACUCUGUGUUGCUCAACGAUGAGUCCUUCUGGCCCUUGCAAGUUGAGAAAAUUCUCUGAGAAGAUUUUUUCUUAGCUCCCUGAGUCUGAUGUGAUUUUUCUCUACCCUUACCCUAUCUUUAUGUGGCCUUUGUUUUUUUCUAUUGUCAUGUUGUUCCACUUGUUCUUGCCCCAGUGUGGCUCACAUGAAAACUUUUGAGGAACUUACAGUCAGACCGUACUUUACUAUCGCAAGGCUACAUGACAAUCGGGAAAGAAAAGCAUGGGCAUUAACCAGUUUAAAUGAUAAACUCCUACUGCGUUCCACUGCAGUUAACUGAAGACACACAUGAAGAAUCUUGUACUUUCCCAUCCUAUCACUGUAGAAAUAUGUCAUAUUGUUUUAACAAACUGCUGAAGAGGAAGAAAUAUUUUUGAUGUGAACCCACUUCUCCACUCUCCAGUAUCCACAACCAGAAAAGUUACUUUAGUUUCAUUGUACUCCUUGAUUUUUUUGAACUUUGUUUGCUGUGCCUGGACUAUUCCACUGUUUUUGCAUGCCAGGUCCUCAUCUGUUCUGACAGGAUACUUCUUGAGACCUAAACAGGGUAGGGAAAUUAAAAAAAGUGCAUUAUGUGUGUAAGCCCUUUCCUGUGGGUUUUUCCACACCUUUUAGGUUCUCCACCUGCAAAUGGGUUCAGGCAAACAGCAUUCUCACAGAGCUUGGUGCCCUCCGUGGGUAUGUCGUUGCUUACACAAAUCAGGUUGUAGGCGGGACAUGAUUCAGCAGCAAGUAUGUUGCUGCUGCUAUGUAAGUUACCUCCAAACCCCACAUUUUGAGUCUCCAAAAAUUCUGUCUUUAUUUGACAUUAUUGAUUUGCUGGACUGGUUUAUUUAAGGACAAGCUGUAUUGUAGAAGAGGCACAAUCUUAAUCCUUAACAAUAGCAAAUAUAGAUUCUCUUCAUAAUAGAAACACAUCAAAUAUUUCUGUUCCCUGCUGUGCAUGCAUAGCUUUCAUAUUGGGAUACAAAUAAAUGCACUAUGAAGGAAAAGCUCUUUUCCAUUGAUGGCCAAGAGUAUAUGCCAUUGCUUGGGAAAGAAUAUUAUUGCCUUAUUUUUUUUCCCUAGAUGGUAUUAUACUUCACCUCCCUUCCCCCUGUACUUGGUUUAUUUACCUUCAACAGAAAUUCUUCCUAUCUGGAGGGAUUACGGUAGCCUAACUCGACUUUCUCUUCAUUUCUUUUAAUGUCAGCAUCUCAUCGCUGUAUAAGGGGAAAUAAAGCUCCUGAAGACUUUGGGUACAUUAACAGUAUUUUAAAUACUCAAGAAAACUUUUUAAAACAAGUCACUUUUUUAUUUAAAAAAUUUUUGAAUCAAAAAUGGAAACUUUUUUCCUAUUUUCAUUUUCCAAAAACCAAGUCAUUAAAAAAAUGAAUCUUCUGUAGAGGUAGUAUGAUAUUUCGUGCAUAGAAUGUCACUGUUAGCUUCCAGUAAGGUUACAAAAAGGGGUCUUGGAGGCAAGAUAAGCAUCUGAUUCAGAUAGACAUUGGAAUAUGAGACACAGAACUAUUGGAUGUGGUACUGUAGCACUGAAAUAACUCCUAAUCUUAAGAAAAAUGUACCUAAUCUACAGUAAAUAAUUCCUAAAAGAAAUUUUGGCUGGCUUAUUGCUUGUUUUCAGAGAUGCUAAUUUUUUGAUGACCAGCAAAUCUGUGCUAAU